GGGUGGGUUACCUGGGUAGGAUUGGGUGGUCUGGGGGCGUCUCUCCAGGGUGGGCGCCAGGCAGGCUCCAGUCCUUCCCUCCCUGAGCUGUUUGCUCAUCAGCAGAGUGUGGCCGUCAGCCUCUGGGAUGUCCGGGGGGCAGUCCUAGGGAUGGACAGGGGCUCCUUGCUGGCCGGGCAGCACAGGACUGGUGCUCUUGCUUUUUUUGGCUGCACUGGCUCUUUGUUGCAGCCCAUGGGCUUCAUUGCCCGGUGGUACGUGGCAUCUUAGUUCCUCGACCAGGGGUUAAACCCACGUCCCCUACGUUGGAAGGCGGAUCCUUAACUGCUGGACCACCAGGGACGUCGCAGGCUCAUGCUCUUGAAAGAGGAAAAUCAGAAAGGACAGAUAAUGCCAGUAAAAAAGGGAAAAAACCCUCAGCCGGCCACAAAGCAUCCCUCCGCCCCGAUGCACUGCAGCCCCAGCGUCUGCGUAUGCUCUUCCAGACUCUUUUCUUGGGUGAGAAAAAUGAAAUUCGGUUCAAAAGACUGUUUAUGGAAAACAGAUUCUGUGCCCAGCGUUGGCUGAGCAGUGGGGAGCUCAGCCCAGGGGAACCCUGGGGCUGGGGCGGGAGGAGGCGCCGAGACCCCUGUCCCAUUCGCUGCCCCCAUGGGGUCAGCCUGGGGGCAUGGGGCAUGGGGCAUGGGGGAGCCCUUGGGGUUUCCUGGGGCUGCGGUGACACGUGACCACAAACCAGCUGGCUUAAAACCACAGACGUGUGUUCUCUCGCACUGUGCAGACCCAGGUGUCGGCCGGGCUGGGUCCUUCUAGACGCUCUAGGAAGAAUCUGGUCCAGGCCUCGUCUCAGCUUCAGUGAUGCCCAGCCUCCUUGGCCGGUGGAGGUACGACUAAUCUCUGCCCCUGCCUGCACGCACCCUGUGUAUGUGCGUGUGUCUCUGUCUCUUUAGUCUUUUUUAAGGACACUCAUCAUUGAAUUCGGGCUUCCCAGGUGGCACAGUGGUAAAGAAUCUGCCUGCUGAAGCAGGAGACUCAAGAGAGGAAGGUUCAAUCCCUGGGCUAGGAAGAUCCUCUGGACAAGGAAAUGGCCACCCACUCCAGUGUUCUUGCCUGGAAAAUCCCAUGGACAGAGGGGCCUGGAGGGCUACAGUCCAUGGGGUCACAAAGAGUUGGAUACUUAAUAAGCACACACGCACGAUCGUUGAAUUCAAGGCCAACCCUCAUGGAGGACAAUCUCAUCUUAAGAUCUUUAUCUUAAUUAUAUCUGCAAAGACCUUAUUUCCAAAUAAAGUCACAUUCUGAGGUUCUAGGUGGACA
rnacentral:lncRNA from 1 species